ACGGAGAGUUUGAUCCUGGCUCAGGAUGAACGCUGGCGGCGUGCCUAAUACAUGCAAGUCGAACGUGAUCCCCGUUUUCGGAUGGGGUGAAAGUGGCGC
rnacentral:rRNA from 1 species